UUCAGUUCGGCUGGACAAGUGACAGGUGCUGCAUGGCUGUCGUCAGCUCGUGUCCGUGAGAUGUUGGGUUAAGUCCCGCAACGAGCGCAACCCUCAUCCCUAGUUGCCAUCAUUCAGUUGGGCACUCUAAGGAAACUGCCGGUGAUAAGCCGGAGGAAGGUGGGGAUGACGUCAAGUCCUCAUGGCCCUUACGCGCUGGGCUACACACGUGCUACAAUGGCAACUACAGUGGGCAGCAACCGGGCGACCGGUAGCUAAUCUCCAAAAGUUGUCUCAGUUCGGAUUGUUCUCUGCAACUCGAGAGCAUGAAGGCGGAAUCGCUAGUAAUCGUGAAUCAGAAUGUCACGGUGAAUACGUUCCCGGGCCUU
rnacentral:rRNA from 1 species